UACGGGGGGGGCAAGCGUUGUUCGGAAUUACUGGGCGUAAAGGGCGCGUAGGCGGUCCGCUAAGUUGAAUGUGAAAACUCUGGGCUUAACCCAGAGCCUGCAUUCAAUACUGGCGGGCUAGAGUUCUGGAGGGGAUAGCGGAAUUCCUGGUGUAGCGGUGAAAUGCGUAGAUAUCAGGAGGAACACCGGUGGCGAAGGCGGCUAUCUGGACAGAGUCUGACGCUGAGGCGCGAAAGCUAGGGGAGCAAACAGG
rnacentral:rRNA from 1 species